UCGGGUAUGGUGUAACGGCUAACAUUGCCGCCUCUCAUGAAUUUGUUUAACUCGAGUGCGCGCGGCAGCUCGGGGUUCGAUUCCCCGUACCCGAA